UACCCUAGUACACUUAAACUUAAUUAGUAACAUUAGAAUAUUAAAAGUUAUGUUCUUUAAAUUUAAAAAAUUGGGCGGUGUUUUAGUCUAGUUAGAGGAACCUGUUUUAUAAACGAUACAACACGCAUUAUUUUACUUAUUUUAGUAGAUCAGUUUGUAUACCGUCAUUAUAAGAUAAUUUAAGAGAGAAUAUUAUUGAAAUCAUAUUAUUGAGUAUAUUAGAUCAAGGUGCAGCUUAUGAGUAAGUAAACAUGGGUUACAAUAAAAUUUAUUUAAUAUGAAUUAAAUGUUUAAAUAUGUUU
rnacentral:rRNA from 1 species